rnacentral:rRNA from 1 species
UAGCAUAUCAAUAAGCGGAGGAAAAAGAAACCAACAGGGAUUGCCCCCAGUAACGGCGAAGUGAAGCGGCAACAGCUCAAAUUUGAAAUCUGGCCCCCCAGGGUCCGAGUUGUAAUUUGCAGAGGAUGCUUUUGGCAAGGUGCCUUCCGAGUUCCCUGGAACGGGACGCCAUAGAGGGUGAGAGCCCCGUCUGGUUGGAUACCGAGCCUCUGUAAAGCUCCUUCGACGAGUCGAGUAGUUUGGGAAUGCUGCUCUAAAUGGGAGGUAUAUGUCUUCUAAAGCUAAAUAUUGGCCAGAGACCGAUAGCGCACAAGUAGAGUGAUCGAAAGAUGAAAAGCACUUUGAAAAGAGGGUUAAAUAGUACGUGAAAUUGUUGAAAGGGAAGCGCUCAUGACCAGACUUGGGCCCGGUGAAUCAUCCAGCGCUCGUCGCUGGUGCACUUUGCCGGGCUCAGGCCAGCAUCAGUUCGCUCCGGGGGACAAAGGCUCUGGGAAUGUGGCUCCUCCGGGAGUGUUAUAGCCCACUGCGCAAUACCCUGGGGCGGACUGAGGUUCGCGCAUUCGUGCAAGGAUGCUGGCGUAAUGGUCAUCAGUGACCCGUCUUGAAACACGGACCAAGGAGUCGUCUUCGUAUGCAAGUGUUCGGGUGUAAAACCCCUACGCGUAAUGAAAGUGAACGCAGGUGAGAGCUUCGGCGCAUCAUCGACCGAUCCUGAUGUUCUCGGAUGGAUUUGAGUAAGAGCAUACGGGGCCGGACCCGAAAGAAGGUGAACUAUGCCUGUAUAGGGUGAAGCCAGAGGAAACUCUGGUGGAGGCUCGCAGCGGUUCUGACGUGCAAAUCGAUCGUCAAAUAUGGGCAUGGGGGCGAAAGACUAAUCGAACCUUCUAGUAGCUGGUU